AGCCGCUCUCCCUUUUCCGCUCCCGCGGCCAUGAGGGUUUCUUUUCCGUCUGGGGCCCUGCCGUUCUACAUGUAUCAGCUAUGUUCUUCCUUCCUGUGGCUUCAGUGCAGAUCCGUCCCCAAAUGUGGAGACCUAAUACUACUUCUUUCCAAGGAUUUAAACCCUGCACUUCAGAGGGAUGCAGAAGGAACAUCAUCCCCUGGCACUGGGAGAUUGAACUAUAAGCUGUCACAAGGCUGCCCUUGACAGAUGGGCCCCAUGCCUUUUGUGUGAGAAACCAUUUCACCUGUUACUGAUGUUGGUGAAGACAAGGCCUUCCUAAUUAAAGGCUUGCAAAUGUUUCUCAUUUUGAGGUGUGAUGGAGCUGGGAAGUGAUGGAGCUGAGAGUGCUGCCAGCAAAAGGUGAUGCUUGCAUGGAGUUUGAGAGCCAAGAUAAAUGUGCCUGAGGAAGGGACUGUGCUGUGUCUGCGGCCUCACUGGGUAAGUCCACAGAACAGGUGAAUUGUACUAAAAACUUCUGGAAAUAUUUGUAGCCACUGAUGAUAUUGAUUCUGCCAAAUGAGUUCCUGUGAUAUCACCCUUUCCGUUCCACUUCUGUCUGAGGUUACAAAACUGUUUUGGAGCUUUUAGCAGUUGUGCUGCUGCAUAUGCUAACUGUGUUUUCUUGAUUUAGGUGGAGAGGCAGCUCUGAAACUAGCAUAUGAAGAAUUGAGAAGGUGAGUGUAAGAGCAGUAAUAAUGUAUUUGUUGGAACAAGUGAUGAUAACCUUAGCUUGAACUCUCUCACUGAACAGAGAUGAAAUCCUAAGGUCUGAGAUGUUCCCAUCAAGUGUGUUGUGCUGGUUUGGUACCUUAUAAUGGUUCUUCUGUCUGUCUUAAUAGGUGGAAGAUUGGAUGAAUGGGUUACACUUGCAUGAACAGCAUUAAAAAAGCCAAUGUGUUUUUACCUCACUGGUAAUGUUUGCCUGAUGUUGAUUAAAGUGAAUAAAAAUCUGUAAACUCUA